GUGGGGAAUAUUGGACAAUGGGCGAAAGCCUGAUCCAGCCAUGCCGCGUGUGUGAAGAAGGUCUUCGGAUUGUAAAGCACUUUAAGUUGGGAGGAAGGGCAGUAAGUUAAUACUUUGCUGUUUUGACGUUACCAACAGAAUAAGCACCGGCUAACUUCGUGCCAGCAGCCGCGGUAAUACGAAGGGUGCAAGCGUUAAUCGGAAUUACUGGGCGUAAAGCGCGCGUAGGUGGUUUUGUAAGUUGGAGGUGAAAGCCCCGGGCGCAACCUGGGAACUGCCUCCAAAACUGCAUGACUAGAGUACGAUAGAGGGUAGUGGAAUUUCCUGUGUAGCGGUGAAAUGCGUAGAUAUAGGAAGGAACACCAGUGGCGAAGGCGACUACCUGGACUGAUACUGACACUGAGGUGCGAAAGCGUGGGGGGCAAACAGGAUUAGAUACCCCAGUAGUCC
rnacentral:rRNA from 1 species